GACGAACGCUGGCGGCGUGCUUAACACAUGCAAGUCGAACGGAAAGGCCCCUUUGGGGGUACUCGAGUGGCGAACGGGUGAGUAACACGUGAGUAACCUGCCCUUGACUUCGGGAUAACUUCAGGAAACUGGGGCUAAUACCGGAUAGGAAUCCUUGCUGCAUGUUGGGGGUUGGAAAGCUUCGGCGGUUUUGGAUGGACUCGCGGCUUAUCAGCUUGUUGGUGGGGUAGUGGCUUACCAAGGCUUUGACGGGUAGCCGGCCUGAGAGGGCGACCGGCCACAUUGGGACUGAGAUACGGCCCAGACUCCUACGGGAGGCAGCAGUGGGGAAUAUUGCACAAUGGGCGGAAGCCUGAUGCAGCAACGCCGCGUGCGGGAUGACGGCCUUCGGGUUGUAAACCGAUUUCAGCAGGGGCGAAGCUUGUGGUGACGGUACCUGCAGAAGAAGCACCGGCUAACUACGUG
rnacentral:rRNA from 1 species